GCUUUUGACGUAGCUUGAUGCCCAGAAAGAGGAAAUAACCCCGUGUGAACAUUUCAGUUCGAUCCUGUUUUCUUCAAUCCUAAAUCCACCCUGCGUUCACUGCUCGCACUGUGUGAUUAGCGUCAUUAUUACACUGGAUGGACUUUUUCUGCCGUGUUUGAGGUUAAAUGUUCGUCGUGCACCCGAACUGGGCCGCGGUUUCGCUUUCAGUCGGAUCGCGGGAGUAAAAGUUUCCUGCGCGCUUAACCAAAACAGCGCCUUCCUCACUGGAUACAACCGACUGUUUACCAACACGGCAUUUCACAGAGGAUUUAAAUAACCUGGAGCCCUUUGUGCGGGUCGUUUUAUAGAUACCUUCACUGCUGGGUUUCAACGCUUUCUCCACGCGGUCUUCCAGCUCGUCACAUGCACUGGCUCGGUUGAGUCAGAGGAACCUGUGCCCAGCAUUUCUGUAGAGGAAACUUCACCAGCAUCUCCUAACUACAGUUCUGUCAGGCCUUGGUUUGGGCAGCAAGAAACAACAUGGCAUCCAAACGGCAUCACUUCACCUUGAUGACCUCCAGUGGACUGUGCACCACUUUGCAAACCAUGAAGUAUUAUCCUUUGUUGCCUUAGCUGCAAAGCAAAGCACUUCUGAAAUGAGCCAUCAAACCACAACACCUCACCAUAGCUUACCUAUGACUGUUACCAGCUUUAAAACUGAGGACUUCGACUCUUCUCUUUCAGUGAUGGAGGUGAUAAUGGAGAUGGUGAUGUAUGAAGCACUGAAAAUCAGUGCUGGUUUCCUGUCACCAUCUCACAGUGAGCUUUUUCAGCUCACUAUAAGUAAAAAAGUGUUGUCUCCUGUUGUGAUUCCAUCGUUGCAUCAUUAGCCGUAUGAAGCACAACACUAAUGGUGCACAAGCUACUGUGUUGCUGUGUGCCCACCAAAGUUAAAUAUCCAUUUAGUAUGUUUUAUGUAGACAGUACACUUUUAGACUGGCAUAAGUGCCUUUAUCUUAAAUGAUGUGGGGCCUACUAGUUUACGUAGUCAUCUCAGGUUUUAGAACAUAUGUAUUGGAGCCAAAGUAUGACUCUCAGGACAUUGUAACCAAAGAUAUCUGUAGCUCAGGUAAUGGUUUGUGUUUUAGGAUUUCUAGGAUUUUGCACUUCCAGAGAAAAUGAAUGUAAAGAUAGGGCUGUCAGGCAUGGUUUUACAGUGGGACAGUGAUUGACAUACACAAGAUGGAAAAAGAUGUAGGCAAGAUUCAAGAGCAGAGCAAUCAAGUCGGUUUCUUUUUUUUUGCCUAAAGAGCAUGCACUGGGUCAGAUGAACAACUAGUGAUUCAGUGAUUAUUGGGUCAAGCCAUGAAUUGCAUAGCCAUGAAGUUAGUGAUGUUAUUGUCCUGAAUAUGCUGCUAUAUCUGACACUGUAAUUUGAAUAAUAAUUUCCAAAAAUGAAAAGGAAUUGUGCAGAGAUAUUACUAAUUUCUCUUAAUUUCUCUUAAUAAAUGUUGGUGUUAUUUUGUCUAGUUAUUUUUUUUCGCCCAGUAAUAUCACUGUCUUCGUUGACCUAAAGUUAGGCUUUAUUCCAUUUAUUUAAUGCAAGACCAGUGAAGUUGACUGAUGUUCUUUCCCACCCAUUCACAGAUCUUAUAAUUAACUUUUCCUUGGCUGCCUUUUCUUAGUAGCACUUUUUUGGACUUUUCAUGUUUACAACAUGAUUUGUACAACUUUUGUAGUUUCAACAUUUGUUAAUCUUGUCUAUUUUUUUUAACCUGAUAAUAAUGUCUGUCUUCUUUCACAGUAGGUUAAGCCGUAUUCCAUAAUACAAGACCAGUGAAUGAUUUGUACUACGUUUUGUACUUUUUAAAUGUGUUUUUACACUAUUAGUCUAGUUUUUUAACAUCCACAAUUUGUGUUACUUUCAUAGUUUCAGAAGAACCACAAAUGUGUAAAUUGAUGUGCAAUGUUGUGGUACAUGGGCCACCUGGUUUAUGGAAGAAAGAAAGCACGUGCCAUCUAAUCAGCAUCACCUCACUUUGAUGGCCUCUGAACUUUUGCACCAUGACACAGACACUUUACAAACUGAAUUUUUCUGUGUUACGUUGCUUUUUUUUUCUAGAGCUCCCUGUGAGAAUGUUUUACAGCACUGUUGUUUACUUGCUCCAGCAUGUUGAGCUUUUUUUUCUCACUAUGUUUGCAAAAGGGGACUGUUACUAACACUGGAUAGUCAUUACACAUAUAAAAGAUUUGAUAUGGUCAGUCAUAAUCCUUCUUCUUCUGUCAUACUUUGUGCUAACAAGCUGUGCGAUAUGAAAUGAUAGCUUUGCCUACAACUGUGUUAAGCUCUCAUUUGUUGGAUGUCAAACUAGCAUACAUGGUUUACUGUUACACACACUCACACACACACUUUUUCCAACCCGCUUAUCCUUCUGGCCACUGGGCAGAAGGCAGGACACACCCUGGACAGGUUGCCAGUCCAUCGCAGGGUAGACAGACUGCAUUACUGUUACCAUUUUUAGAAUUUACUCCAGUUUCCCUUUUUAACAAAGCUUUGCUUUUUCAAGUAAUGCAUUUCUGUAUUUCAUUUCAUUUGUAGACAUGUAUUUUUGCCUCUAUUUGUAUGUGGAAAUAAAUACCAUAUGUGUUGAAUUUUCA